GUGAAUAUAGUUUAAAAAAAACAUUUGCUUUGCAAGCAAAAUAACUAGGUUCAAUUCCUAGUAUUUACA
rnacentral:tRNA from 1 species